rnacentral:lncRNA from 1 species
CGGAGACCCUGGCACCCGCGUCAGACGCCGGCCGGCGAGGGUGCUGAGAGAGAGAGACCUUGAGCAGCGCUGCGCGCGUCCUCAGCUCUGCGAGCCCCCUCUGGAGCGGCGGGGAUGCGAACCUUGUUUGUGGAUGCCCCUCAAAAAUGCAAUGCCCGGCAUUAGAUGCACAAGCCCAGGCAAUUAAAAUGAAGACUGUUUCCAUGCGGGCCCCCGUGAAAGGGAUUCCUGUGUAUCUCAAGCAACAAAGAGAGCUGUGGAGCAAGGAGAUUCCCUGUGUAAUCGGGAGCACUGGAUGUGAAUCCCAGGUCUGGCAUGGGAACCUUGGUGAGUGAUGCUGAGUGGAAUGUUACGUAUCACCAUCA